rnacentral:rRNA from 1 species
CAGUAGCCGCGGUAAUACAGAGGGUGCAAGCGUUAAUCGGAAUUACUGGGCGUAAAGCGCGCGUAGGUGGUUCGCCAAGUUGGAUGUGAAAUCCCCGGGCUCAACCUGGGAACUGCAUCCAAAACUGGCGAGCUAGAGUGUGUCAGAGGAUGGUGGAAUUCCCGGUGUAGCGGUGAAAUGCGUAGAGAUCGGAAGGAACAUCUGUGGCGAAGGCGACUAUCUGGGCCAACACUGACACUGAGGCACGAAAGCGUGGGGAGCAAACAGGAUUAGAUACCCCGGUAGUCCCUGUCUCUUAUAC